AACGAACGCUGGCGGCAUGCCUAACACAUGCAAGUCGAACGAAGCCUUCGGGUUUAGUGGCGCACGGGUGCGUAACGCGUGGGAAUCUGCCUCUUGCUUCGGAAUAACAGUGGGAAACUACUGCUAAUACCGGAUGAUGUCUUCGGACCAAAGAUUUAUCGGCAAGAGAUGAGCCCGCGUAGGAUUAGGUAGUUGGUGGGGUAAAGGCCUACCAAGCCGACGAUCCUUAGCUGGUCUGAGAGGAUGAUCAGCCACGCUGGGACUGAGACACGGCCCAGACUCCUACGGGAGGCAGCAGUGGGGAAUAUUGGACAAUGGGGGCAACCCUGAUCCAGCAAUGCCGCGUGAGUGAUGAAGGCCUUAGGGUUGUAAAGCUCUUUUACCAGGGAUGAUAAUGACAGUACCUGGAGAAUAAGCUCCGGCUAACUCCGUGCCAGCCGCCGCCGUAAUAC
rnacentral:rRNA from 1 species